rnacentral:misc_RNA from 1 species
AUGAAGAACGCAGUGAAAUGCGAUAAGUAAUGUGAAUUGCAGAAUUCAGUGAAUCAUCGAAUCUUUGAACGCACAUUGCGCCCGCCAGUAUUCUGGCGGGCAUGCCUGUUCGAGCGUCAUUUCAACCCUCAAGCCCCCGGGCUUGGUGUUGGGGAUCGGCGUGCCCUCGCGGCGCGCCGUCCCCUAAAUCUAGUGGCGGUCUCGCUGUAGCUUCCUCUGCGUAGUAGCAACACUCGCACUGGAUCGCAGCGCGGCCACGCCGUUAAACCCCCCACUUCUGAAAGUUUGACCUCGGAUCAGGUAGGAAUACCCGCUGAACUUAAGCAUAUCAAUAAGCGGAGGA